CCCUUUGGCGGGGGACAACAGCUCGAAAGGGUUGCUAAUACCGCAUACGUCAUCGGCGUCUUUGGACGUUGAUGGGAAAGAUGGCCUCUUCAUGAAAGCUAUCACCAGAGGAUGAGUCCGCGUAGCAUCAGCUUGUUGGUGGGGUAAUGGCCUACCAAGGCUAAGACGCUUAGCUGGUCUGAGAGGAUGAUCAGCCACACUGGGACUGAGAUACGGCCCAG
rnacentral:rRNA from 1 species